rnacentral:rRNA from 1 species
CAGUCGCCGCGGGAAUACGAAGGGUGCAAGCGUUAAUCGGAAUUACUGGGCGUAAAGCGUGCGUAGGCGGUGAGUUAAGUCUGCUGUGAAAUCCCCGGGCUCAACCUGGGAAUGGCAGUGGAUACUGGCUCGCUAGAGUGUGUCAGAGGAUGGUGGAAUUCCCGGUGUAGCGGUGAAAUGCGUAGAGAUGUGGAGGAACACCGAUGGCGAAGGCAGCCCCCUGGGCCAAUACUGACGCUCAUGCACGAAAGCGUGGGGAGCAAACAGGAUUAGAUACCCCAGUAGUCCCUGUCUCUUAUAC